rnacentral:rRNA from 1 species
AGAGUUUGAUCAUGGCUCAGGACGAACGCUGGCGGCGUGCCUAACACAUGCAAGUCGAACGGAGAUAUGCGAACGAGGCCUUCGGGCGGAGAUUGCAUAUUUUAGUGGCGGACGGGCGAGUAACGCGUGAGCAACCUGCCCUUCAGAGGGGGAUAACGGCUGGAAACGGCCGCUAAUACCGCAUGACAUAUACACAAGGCAUCUUGAGUAUAUCAAAGGAGGAAUCCGCUGAAGGAUGGGCUCGCGUCCGAUUAGCUGGUUGGUGAGGUAACGGCUCACCAAGGCGACGAUCGGUAGCCGAACUGAGAGGUUGAUCGGCCGCAUUGGGACUGAGACACGGCCCAGACUCCUACGGGAGGCAGCAGUGGGGGAUAUUGCACAAUGGAGGAAACUCUGAUGCAGCGACGCCGCGUGGGGGAAGAAGGUCUUCGGAUUGUAAACCUCAGUAGUCAGGGAAGAAGCAAGUGACGGUACCUGAAGAGUAAGCUCCGGCUAACUACGUGCCAGCAGCCGCGGUAAU